AUAAUGUAUGAGCCGGGAUUAGUUCGGCAAUAGUUCCCGGCGCACUCGUGUAUUUUAAUACGUUCAAUACGAGCGUUUUAUGCACAUCGUUUAUGUUAAGAAACCGAAUAGUAAUGGGGUACAUGCAGAUAUUAAAAAUCCUGCAUCGAAAUUUAAAGCCAACCGCGACGCAGACGUGCAGAUUGACAUCGGGCAAUUUGUACCCACAUACGCACAGAGCGGAAUCAGCCUUUUCGAGUGUGACCUUCCACGGGAGGCUCGAACCUUUUGCGUGUAGCUGUCACGCUCUGUGCUGUAUUCUGCAAUCGCGCAGAGGUAUUACUCUUGACUUCAGAGCGAGAAAUAAAAACGAGGAGCGAGACGAUGGACACAAGUCGCUCUACAAAUACCAGAGUGGCAGCCCAAAGCUAUCAGCUACACGCAAAGUGAAAAAGGCUGGCCGAGAUGUCACCUAUUUGAUUGUUGUUCUCAUCGGGCUUGGAGUGACAGGUGGUCUUCUGUACGUGGUCUUCCAAGAACUAUUUUCUUCCUCCAGUCCAAAUAAAGUCUAUGGAAAAGCAUUCAACAAAGUCAGAUUAGACCCAGAGGUCAUUGGUGCAUUCGGAGAACCAAUCAAGUGUUAUGGUGAGACAACUCGUCGGGGAAGAAGGCAACAGAUCAGUCAUAUGGAGUAUCUGAAGGAUGGACUCAAGCACAUGAGACUCAAGUUUUACAUUGAGGGAUCCGAACCGGGGCUUAAAGGCACAGUGCACUCUGAGUCAAAAGAGAAUCCUGAAACUGGGAAAUAUGAGUUUCGCUACAUAUUUGUGGAUGUAGACACAUACCCAAGGCGGACCAUCAUUGUAGAAGAUAACAGCUAAAACCAAAAUCAAACAACAAAAUGACCGCACGAUUUAGUGAAGCUAUUUGACUGGCGUACAAUUGAUCGUGUCUUUGUGUAUUUUGUAUGUGAUAAAAAUGUGAAAACAGCUGAGGAUACAGAUCUGAUAUUGCUUUACUGAUUAAAAGUGUUUGCAUUAAACAUCAACAAUUACAUGAUUUAAACUUAGGGAAAAGCAAUAUCUUUCUUUUGGGGGUACACCUUUUCGACGUCAACAAAGCCUGAGAUUGUUGUUUUCCCAAUAAUGGCCACAGAACAGGGACAAAGCGUCGACUAAAAACCUGAUAAUCUGCUAUAAUUGUAAAGGCUUAAAUCGGUGUUCUUAAUCGAUUACUGUAGUGCAAUUCCGUCCAAAUCAUUGCUGUAAUUUAAUUGACGUUUUAUGCAACUUAUUAUUGGCAUCUGUACAUUAUUUCUUUAUCCGUCGACCAUAUGUGGCAUUCUGAGACCCUCGCGAAUGUUAGAACUACUCUUGAGAUCAUGCUUGAGAAAGUCUUUCCGCCUCCCGUGAUUCUAUCGCCAUGGCGUGAGUUUGAGCAAUUAUUACUGACAAAACACAACAAGUUAUUUGUAAAUUUAGAAGAAAAGGGCGAGUUUGUUUUCAUCUUAAAACCUAAUUAUUCACACGCAUGACGGUGGUUGAAUCCAGCAAUUUCCGAUUAUCUCUGAAGGCAACAAAUGAAACCCCGCCCACUGGAGUGGGAGGUGUCGAAAGUAGGCACUGGGAUGUGCUGGGUUAACACAAUGCUAAACCAAACUACGAGAUGUGUUACAUUUUUCCUGUUAUUCUAAGUCAUACAUAUUUUACCGAGUAAGUACCAAGUGCUUUCGCGGAAUUACAUUGGAAACGCUUGCAUAUUAGAUGGUUUCCAGGUGUUUUUUUCUGUGGAAUGGUUUGGUAAACGGAAGCGGUUUUCAGUGUUUGUGGCCUGCUUUCUGAGCUUCGGCUCCUCUCUGGAGCUUCCCUGGCAUCUCAUCAGCGCAUAAGAAGCAGGCAAUGAUCGACCUCGGCGGCUAACUAACCAAGUAGUGUACGUUCAUGGCGCUGCAUUAAACGAUGAAAGCUAGCACCCAGUGAUUGAAGUCCCACCAAAAUGGAGCUGUACUGGUAUAUAGUGGUCAUAGUGUUCAUCAUCAUCAAGAUCUUCUUCUAUGUGUGCUGGUACCGCUCGAGACAGAGGCAGCUGGCUGCAUACCUGAGCAACCCCCGCAAUGCCCAGAUAGUCAUCGUUGGAGGGAGGGCGUACCUCCAUCAAAUGUGCGAGCGACAGAGUCAAACCUCACUCUGGCCAAGUUGGUACGGCGUACCUGAUGACCUGUCACAAGAAGAGCCCUCCACGGCGCUGCCACCUGCUGCAUCCUUCUCCCAUCUGGACAUGCCACCGCCAUAUGAUGCCGCCGUGUCCGAAGAGGAUGAUCUGAAACCGCCUCCCUACAGCGAGUGUGCUCACGCCGUCGAGACCGAUGCGCCUCAACCCUCCAAUCGCACGCCUCUCAUCUCCGAAGGAGGCGACUCCAGUAGCUCCAGCGAGGCCCCGCCCCCUUAUUCGCAGUCUCCCCAGCCCCGUACACAAGAAGGCCUUGUGAGCUGCACAGAGGCGCAUUCUGAGAACAUGCCUGUCUAAUUGAAUACCAGUUUGUCUUUUCCUCCAGAUAAACCUUUGCCCCACUGCUGGAGCUAGAGAGAGGACUGCGGGUGGCAUUGGGCUCCCCUGAAGUAUGCUUGGACCCUCCCCCCCAAGGUGCCAGGCCAGACUUUUGGGUAUUUUCCGGGUAUUGUCACCCAUUCCCCGAAAGGAACAUAUUAGGAAUCUUUAUCAAUGGUUUCUGAAGAAUUAUUUGGUUUGUUUAAAAAAAUGAUUUGCGGACCCACUCGGAUAUCUUGAUGAGGUUUAAGUGUGAGUGGUUAAGGGCUUCUACUUUUUUGUUUUUCCCGAAAUACUGCAAAAUGAUAACUUACCAAAAAUAGUUCAGCAUCUUUUUAUAACCUACAUGAAUCUACCACAGGUUGGUCAGAUCAAUUUCUGUUAUCAUUACCAUAAGAUUUGGAUUUAGUUUCACUGCAUUUCAAAGUAAACUUUGCUUGAAGUUUUGCCUCUUGUUUUUUAUACACAUUUUCAGUUUAAAUGUAGUUGACGGUGGUGAAAUUGUCAUCGUUUUGUAUUGUGGCGACAAAUCAAUCGUGGUCUUUUUAAAAUGUAAAGGGAGGCAAUGUGCAAAAAUGUAGCUUAGAAUGCAGACGCAUGAUGUCUGAAUCUAUAUCCAAGCGUCGGUGAUCUAGUGUCUCUUCAUCCAGUUUACCUUCCUGCUUAUUUGGAACACAUCUCAGUUCAAAUUACUCACCAGGUUGGGAUUUUUUGACAGUUGCUUCUUAUUUCUUUUCACCAUAUUUUUUUUGUGGGGGGGGGUCAACUUGUGCAUUAAACUUGUUGAUAUUA